ensembl:lncRNA
CAGUCAACCUUUCCUCAACUACCAGAAACAAAGGAAAACAAAUCUGUUUACACAAGUGGUGUGAUCCACAAUCCCUUUUUCUCCAGACCCAGUCUGUCCCUAAUCAGCAAACGUAUGGUAGACAGAAGAGAACCCACAUUUGAAAGACAAGGCAUUUGAAGUAAAUUGUUUAUUGAACAAAUCAUGUAAGAGUAGCAGGAACACCAGGACAAAUCAAAAUCAUAACCGUACAACCUAAGUGUCAGCAAUGGUGGCCAAAUCAGAUGUAAAUUUUAGUCGUAUGAUUUUGAAAAUAAUUCAUACCAUUGUAGUGUUCACCCCUGUAAACAAUUUGCAUAACGAUGCGCAAGUGAAGGAGAUCCACAUUUCAAACAAGUGCAUUAGUUUGCACAAUUCCUCACCUCAGUUACCUUUGCCCUUUUCUUCAAAUGGAGGCACAGUAACAGGGGAAAGACGAUUAAGGAGUUAGGGAGAUCAUAAUUUGGUUUGCCCAUCUAGCUUGUUGAGGGGUCGGGCAGUCUGAUCAAGGCCGGCUACCGCUGCAGCAGAGGCACGGGAGCCGGCGGCCGCUUCUGCUGAGGCAUGGUUGGCAGUUGCUCCAGCUGAGGCGCGGGGGCCAGCCGCUUCUGCUGAGGCAUGGUUGGCAGUUGCUCCAGCUGAGGCGCGGGGGCCAGCCGCUUCUGCUGAGGCAUGGCUGGCAGUUGCUCCAGCUGAGGCGCGGGCCACUUCCAUAGAGGUAUGGUUGGCAGUUGCUUCAGCUGAGGUGUGGGCCGCUUCUUGGUUGGCAGUUGCUCCAGCUGAGGCGCGGGGGCCAGCCGCUUCUGCAGAGCUAUGGUUGGCAGUUGCUACAGCUGAGGCGCGGGCCGCUUCCGCAGAGGCUCGGGGGCCGGCGGCCGCUUCUGCUGAGGCAUGGUUGGCAGUUGCUCCAGCUGAAGCGCAGGGGCCAGCCGCUUCUGCUGAGGCAUGGUUGGCAGUUGCUCCAGCUGAGGCGCUGGGGCCAGCCGCUUCUGCUGAGGCAUGGUUGGCAGUUGCUACAGCUGAGGCAUUUGUCCCGGCGUCACACUUGCCAGAGUAUUGGUGCCAGUAGCUUUAGCAUUUGGAACAGACACCACACUUGCUUGGGAUCCAGAUGGUUCAGGUCCAGUGCAUGCAGGAUGCCCAUAAGCAUCACCUAGGAAACAAAACAUUAUGGUAAAACGCCAGCCUUAAGCUAUUGGAACUAG